GGUCUGAUGGUGUAAUGGUAACACACCCGCUUCACAUAAUGACUGUGUGAAUAGUUUGGUGGGAGAUCCUUGUUCGAUUCAAGGCUAGGCCA